rnacentral:RNase_P_RNA from 1 species
AGGCAGAUAGGACGUGGCUGCUCCCACUGCUUCGUUUUACGAAGCAAAACAAUGGGGGAGGAAAGUCCGGGCUCCUGAAGGUAGCGUAGUGGGUAAUGCCCACCCUCUGGUUUAUGCCGGAGAGGAUCAGAGCUACAGAGACGAGUAGCCGUGCGGAGCACGGCAAGGUGCAACGAAGCAAUCUCUACGCGGAGCAAGGCCAAAUAGGAGACGAGGGAAACCUUCUCCCGUCAUCAGUCUCGGGUAGGCUGCAAGAUUCUGCUGGUAACAGCAGAACUUAGAGGAAUUGCCACAGGCAAGCGCCUAGAUUCUUUACCUGUUAAUGACAGUUAAAUUCCUAAGCGCUUACAUACAGAACUCGGCUUAUUCUAUCUGCCUGCUU